rnacentral:lncRNA from 1 species
ACAAAGUCCUCACCAGAGCCAAGCUAGUGCUGGAGCCAUGCCCUUCAACCUGAAAACUGUGAGCUAAAUAACCUUUCUUCCUUACAUAUUACCUAAAUCAGGUAUUUUGUCAUAGUAAUGGAAAGCACACCAAUACACACAAGUGAGUUGGGUCCACAUGUCUUCUGUAUAACUUCAUUGAAUAAUACCUAACUGAACAGAAAAACAUACUAAAGAAGUGUUUUCUUUUAAAUAUAAAUUCUGUACAUGUAUAACAUUUUAAAAUUUUGUUUCUCUCCAGAUUAAAUUUCCACUUAUCCUUAUAUACACUCACAGGGAGUAGUAUAUGUAAUAACCAUUGUCAUCUCUGAGAGAGGGAGGAGCCCAAAAGUCACACAACUGUGAAGGCACAGGCACAACCUGCACCCAGGGGCCUGAAAGCUCCUUAUAGUGCUCUUUUCUACAAGACUUUGUGGCCUUAAUGCCAAACUUUCCCAGGGACACAUGGAUAUUUAUAUUUCAACUUUUUCUGCAGUUAUAUGGAAGAGUUCUGAGGACUUCAUGGAUUUUUGAUCACAUCAACAGAUUUAUCUGAUUGCUUAUUCGUGUUGGAUCAUAGGAUUAUGAGGCAUCUGUGGGAGCUUAUGUUUCAUAGACAACAAAUCAUGAUGCCUGUGCCUGAUGAGGGUAGUGAAUCCAGGAGAGAUGCAAGGGCCCUUCCCUCAGCAGGCAUCCAUGGGACUUGGCAUGUCCAGACUGCACUACCUCGAGAAGUGAUGAAGAUACCAGACCUCUUCCCUGUCUGCAGGAACAUUGGUCCAAGAUAAAUGAACUCACCUACUUUAGAAAAGAAAAAUCUAAUCGGAGAAUGGUACCAUCCCCCCGAAGACCACUCAUUCUGUGCUCUGCCAACAUAGCCACAGGGAAUCUACCAUCUUUUCCGCCAUGUGUGAGGUUGUGGUUGAGUUUUUCCCUUUCCUUUCCUUUUAGUUUCCUAAAUAUAGAAUUAAUGGGUAGUAGGGAAAGUCAAUGAUUUCUCCUACUUGGGUCUGGAGAAUGGAAAGAAAAUAUUCCUUUCUUCUUUCGGCUUCAAAACCCCCUCUAGGUUGGGGCCCUCACUUGCCAAUUUCGCAUUCAGAUAAGACACAAGUCAAGGACCACAAAGUUUGUAACGACAAGGAGCUGGAAGGGGGCAUUGCUGUACUAUGAUAGAGUACUGGCCCCAAGUGUCAAACCUUGGUUGGUGGUGCCAGGUUGGCUGCCCCAGACUCUUGGGGAAAGGAUUUUGAAGAGCAUAGACUCAUGGGCUUCUAUCCCUAGGGACCUCAGGUGGGGCUUCAGAAGUUUAAAAUAUUUUUUUUUUGUUUGGAAAGAUUCUCAGAUCCACCACCAGUUUAGGAUUCAGAAGUGUAAAAACAGUGAAUAGCAGCAAUAAAAGUUAAAUAAAUAAUUUGC